UUUUUUUUUUUUUUUUUUUUUUUUUUGCUUUUUAGGGCCACACCUGCGGCAUAUGGAGGUUUCCAGGCUAGGGGUCAAAUCAGAGCCACAGCUGCCGGCCACAGCCACAACCACAGCAACGCCAGAUCUGAGCCACACCUGUGACCGAUACACCACAGCUCACGGCAAUACUGGAUCCUUAACCCACUGAGCGAAGCCAGGGAUUGAACCCUGGUCCUCAGGGAUACUUGUCUGAUUAGUUUCCACUGUGCCACACUGGGAACUCUUCCAUCUACAUUCUUUUAGGCAGUUAGGGAGCAUGUCAAAAUUUCUUCCAGAGUUUUUGCAGCUUUGAUUAUUUUCAACUUGAAAUAAUUUGCAUGCCAAAGAGAUAGAUUUUGCGUUGGCAAAUUUUGCUCCUUUAUACAGGAUAUAAGAUCGGUAUACAAAACUUGUGUUCACAUAUACUAGCAAUAAGAAAUUGGGGUGGGUGAUGUAACAUUAUUUAUAGUACCAUCGAAACCAUCAAUUUUUUUUAAUUUUUUUUGGCUGUGUGUGUGGCAUGCAGAAGUUUCUGAACCAGGGAAUGAAAUCAUACCACAGCAGUGACCUGAGCUACGAAGUAACAAUACUGGACCCUUAACCAACUGUGCACAAGAGAACUCCAACAUCAAAUAUUUAGAAAUGAGUUUAAUGAAAUAAAUGUAUGAUCUCUACACUGAAAACUAUAAAACAAUGUAAAGAGAAUUGUAAAAGAUUUAAAUAAGUGGACAGAUGCACUAUGUUCAUGGAUUGGAGGAUUAACAAAUUAAAAAAAUUGUAAGAUGUCCGUUGUCCCCUAAUUCACCUAUAAUUAUAACUCGAAUCCAAGGAAAAAAACCGGCAGUCUGUUUAGUAGAAAUUGAUAAGUGGAUCCUAAACUUUGUAUGAAAAUGGAAGGGGUCUAGAAGAGCCAAAAUGAUUCUGAAAAAGAACAAAUUUGGAGGACUUACACUUUGGGGGGGGUGGUGCCUAAGGCAUGCAGAAUUUCCUGGGCCAGGGAUCAAACCCACGCCACAGCAGCAACAACGUUGAAUCUAUAGCCCACCAGCUACCAGGGAACUUCUGGCUUUACUCUUAUGUCAAUACCAUAAAAGCUUACUUUACUGUGAAUCAUGAAAUUAAAAAGUGUUUAAGAAGAUUUAUGGAACAAAACAGAGUCAGAAAUAGACCUUCACAUGCACAGCCAACUGAAAUCUUGAAAAGAUGAUAAAGUAAUUCAAAUGGGAAAUGUAUGCUUUUUAGUUAAUGGUGCAUAAAAACAUUAAAAAAAUUUUUUUGAGAGAUUGCCUAGCUGGAACUAUAAAUCUAGAAGAAAACACAAGUGAAUACCUUUGGGACCUAGGGGCAGGCAGAGAUUUCUUUUUUUUUUUUCUUUUUCUGUUUAAAACUACUUUAUUACUAAUAAUAGCACUAGGGGCACUGGUGGGAAAUACAAAAUAAAGGACAAAGUUAUGAUCUUGGACUCAUAUAUUUGGAGUUGGUAAAUUGAGCAGCCACCCACUAGGAAUUGCAAGCAGGUAUUGAUUUUCCAGAGAUGAAAGUGAUUUAUCAAGGAAGUCCCAGAGAUUUUGACUUACAAUGUGGAAUUUUAUAAAAGCUAAUUUCAGAUCAAAAUAUUCAUGUGCUACCAAAUGGAUAUUUAUCAGUAAUGAAAGGAGAUUGCAUUUAAAAAUACAUUUUUCUUAAACAUUAAACUACUGAAUUCAGUCAUUUCAUUAAUAACAUUUUCUACUCCAAAUCUAUCUAGGCAGAGAUUUCUACUUAGCAAAACCAUACAAGAAAAAAUGGAUCAACUGGAUUUCUUCAAAAUUUUAAAUUUCUGCUAUUUGAAGACACUGGUAAGAGAAAAAAAAAAAAGCAAGCCACAGACUCAGAAAAUAUUUGCAAAUCAUUUAUCUGAUAAGGGGCUUGCACUCAGAAUAAGAGAGAACUCAAAACUAAAUAUGAAAACAAACAAUCCAAUAAAAAAACGCACAUGGCAGAUUUGCGUAAACACUCCACCAAAGAGAUAAGGAUGACAAACAAGUAGAGGAAGAAAUACUCGGCAUCUUUAGUCAUUAAAGAAAUGCAGGAGUUCCCGUCGUGGUUCAGUGGUUAACAAAUCCGACUAGGAACUAUGAGGAUGCAAGUUCGAUCCCUGGCCUCGAUCAGUGGGUUAAGGAUCCGGCGUUGCUGUGAGCUGUGGUGUAGGUUGCAGAUGCGGCUCGGAUCCCGCGUUGCUGUGGCUCUGGCCCUAGAAAAGGUGAAAAGACAAAAAAGAAAAGAAAAGAAAUGCAAAUUAAAACACAAUGAAUUACCUUACAUACCUAUUAGAAUGGCUAGAAGGAAAAAAGCAGAUCAAAGCAAAUGCUGAGGAGGAUGUGCUGGAAUUGGAAUCCUCAUCCUCCACUGGUGGGAAUGUAAAAUCCUACAAUCACUUUUUUCCAACUUUGGAAAUCAGCUUGGCAAUUUGUUAAAAAGUUAAACAUAUACCACUCUAUGAGCUGGCAAUCCCACUGCUAGGUAUUUACCCAGGAAUGAAAGCAUAUGUCUCACAAAGGCUUGAAUAUGAAUGUUCAUGGUGGCUUUGGUUGCUUUAGUCCAAAAUUGAAAACAACCCAAACAUCCAUCAGCAGAGGGGUGGAUAAACAAACUACGGUCUCUCCAUACAAGGACAGGCUGUGAAUCAGGUGUUGAUGCCUACUGAAACACAGCUGAAUUUAAAAAUAACUGUGCUGAGUGAAAGAAGCUAAACAAAAGGAGUAACACUGAAUGAUUCCAAGUGCAUAUAGAAAUCUAGACAAUGCAAACUCAAACUGCAGUAACAGGAGAGGAGGCCGCUCAGCUGCUGCCUGAGGGGGUGUGACAGGAGACCGCCAGGGGUUGCGGGUGGGGUGGGCAGGAAUCACAAAGGUGCACCAGGAAACUUUGAGUCCCUUGAUUGUGAUGUACUGGAUUAUCUUCAUGGUGUAUGUAUGUCAAAGUUUAUUAAAUUAUACCCUUUAAAUAUGUGCAGUUUAUAGUACGUCAACUACACCCCAAAGCUGUGGGGUCUUUCUUUGUUUUUCUAGGGCUGAACUUGUGGCAUAUGGAAGUUUCCAGAAUAGGGGUCUAAUCAGAGCUGUAGCUGUCAACCUACACCACAGCCACAGCAACACCAGAGAUCUGAGCCGCAUCAGUGACCUACACAGCACCUUGCAGCAAUGCCAGAUCCUUAAUCCACAGAGCAAGGCCAGGUAUCAAACCUGCAAACUCAUGGAUACUAGAUGGGUUCAUAACCCACUGAGCCACAAUAGGAACUCCCCCAAAGCUGUUUCUAAAAGUGAAAAAAAAUUCAGUAAGACAUGAACUGAGAGAAAUUAUGCAGAAUAUUUAUAUCUGACAAGGGAAAGGUUUUCAGAAUUUCCAGACUACAAGAAACAGUUUGACAAAGUAAUACUAAAAGGGCAAUAAAUACUAAAGUCCAAUAAAAAGAAGUAGGUAAAAAUGAACAGCUAUUUCAUAAAACAUACACAAUGGCCAAUAAGUACAUGAAAAAGUGCCCACCAUCAUGAGUCAUCAGAGAAAGACAAGGUAACACCACAAUGAGACAUCACUUCCCACCCACUGGAAGAGCUGUGACAAGAGAGAAUGACAAUCCCAGAUGUUCCCAAGGCUGGGGAUCAAUGGGAACUCCCAUAUGUGGCUGGUACAGUGGCUUCCGAGGGCUGUUUGGUGGUUUCUUAUGCAACUAAACUUUAUGCUCCAGAAAUUCCAGCGAAGUGUCUACCCAAGGAAAGUGAUAUGUCCACACAAAAUCCUUAAACACAAAUGUUCAUAGGAGCCAUGCUCGUCACAGCUCCACGCUGGAAGGAACCUAACUGCCCCCCAACAAGGAGGGUGCAUGAAGAAACGGUGGUGUAUUCACAAAGUGGAUACCAGUCAUCGGGAAAGCAGGACAAACUACCGCCAAGCAUGAAGAUGCAAACAAAGCCUGUGGGCAUAAGAUUAAGUGAGUGAAGCCAAACACAAAAACCAGGCAUCCACUGGAGUGAAGUUCAAGAACAGCAAUGAUUCCAUAGUUAGAAGUUAGAGCAGUGGCGGCCUCUAGUGGGAAGGGAGUGAACUGAAAAUCACCCAUCUCUGAAGGGAUGUGGGGGCAGGGGCGGGUCCCCACUGUACAAGUGUCUGUACUUAAAACCUUAGUAUUAUACCUAAAUUAAAAUACAGCUUUUCACAUUU
rnacentral:lncRNA from 1 species